UACGGAGGGUGCAAGCGUUAUCCGGAUUCACUGGGUUUAAAGGGUGCGUAGGAGGGCAGGUAAGUCAGUGGUGAAAUCUCCAAGCUUAACUUGGAAACUGCCGUUGAUACUAUCUGUCUUGAAUAUUGUGGAGGUGAGCGGAAUAUGUCAUGUAGCGGUGAAAUGCUUAGAUAUGACAUAGAACACCAAUUGCGAAGGCAGCUCGCUACACAUAUAUUGACUCUGAGGCACGAAAGCGUGGGGACCAAACAGG
rnacentral:rRNA from 1 species